UGAUCUCUGGAAAGGUAUCGGGAUUGUUGAUGCGUCCGAGCUGAAUUAGUUGUUUAGAAAGUAAGCUAAUGUUAACGGGGUAAGGCGCCGUGGAGAAUCGGCGAGAAUGAGCCAACGUCAUCGCCGACGAGAUACCGGAGCUGGCGCCGUGCAUGCGGUUACUGAAUUGAGGAAUUGAAUUUAUUUUGAUUUUAUUGUAAUUCCAACACGACGGUAGAUGUAAAGCUAAGAGCAUGCCAUCACUAGUGGUGGUCGCAUGAUUUUUCACCAUUAAAAUAAUUAAAUUUGUGGAGUAAUUUU